rnacentral:rRNA from 1 species
CCUACGGGUGGCAGCAGUGAGGAAUAUUGGUCAAUGGGCGCGAGCCUGAACCAGCCAAGUAGCGUGAAGGAUGACUGCCCUACGGGUUGUAAACUUCUUUUAUAAAGGAAUAAAGUGAGGCACGUGUGCCUUUUUGUAUGUAUUUUAUGAAUAAGGAUCGGCUAACUCCGUGCCAGCAGCCGCGGUAAUACGGAGGAUCCGAGCGUUAUCCGGAUUGAUUGGGUUUAAAGGGAGCGUAGAUGGGUUGUUAAGUCAGUUGUGAAAGUUUGCGGCUCAACCGUAAAAUUGCAAUUGAUACUGGCAGUCUUGAGUACAGUUGAGGGAGGCGGAAUUCGUGGUGUAGCGGUGAAAUGCUUAGAUAUCACGAAGAACCCCGAUGGCGAAGGCAGCUUACUAAACUGUGACUGACAUUGAUGCUCGAAAGUGUGGGUAUCAAACAGGAUUAGAUACCCUUGUAGUC